rnacentral:lncRNA from 1 species
CCCCCCCCCUGCGAUGGGGGUCCUAAGAGCCAGGGGGGAAGAGGGGAUGGCUGUCAGUCCCUCCCUCGUGGGUGGUACCUCCGCCUUCUGCGAUGGUGGUCCUAAGAGCCAGGGGGAGACGAGGGGCUGGCUCUCAGUCCCCGCUUCGCGAGGGGUGCCUCCCCCCCCCGCGAUGGGGGUCCUAAGAGUCUGGGGGGAAAGAGGGGCUGGCUCUCAAUCCCCGCCUCGCGGGGGUGCCUCCCCCAGGUGCUAUGUGGGUCCUAAGAGCCAGGGGUGAAGAGGGGCUAGCUCUCUGUCCCCUCGUCACGGGGGUUGCAUCACCCACCCUGCGAUGGAGGUUCCAAGAGCCAAGGGGGUAAGAGGGGCUGGCUCUCAGUCCCUGCCUCGCGGGGGUUCCUCCCCCCCUGCGAUGGGGGUCCCAAGAGCCAGGGGGGGAAGAGGGGCUGGCUCUCAGUCCCCGCCUCGCGGAGGGUGCCUCCCCCACCACUGCGAUGGGGGUCCCAAGAGCCAGGGGGGGAAGAGGGUCUGGCUCUCCACCACCACAAAAUGGGGGGCCUUUAUGUUCAGGUUUUGCCCAAGAGUCAGCUUAUUUGCUUCUUGUACUAGCAGGGCAGUUGCUGCCAAGGCCCUCAAACAGGGUGCCAUCCUUUAGAAACCCUGUCUAGUUGUUCAGAGACGUAGGCCACCGGCCUCAUCCAGGGCCCCACAGUUUGGGUUAAAAGUCCACCUGCCAUCUUUUCUCUCUCUGACGCAUACAAUGGAAAAGGCUUUGUCAGAUCGGAUAGCCCCAGGGCUGAAGCUGCCAGAAGUUUUUCCUUUAACUCAUGAAAGACUUGCUGUUGUUGGGAUCCCCCUUCCAAAGGUUCCCAGUCCCCGCCCCCUUUGUGACAUCAUACAAAGUCUUGGCUUAUACUGCAAAGUUUGGGAUCCACAGUCUACAAAACCCCACAGCUCCUGAGAAUUCUCUUGCCUGCCUUCGGCUCUUAGGCUAUAGUAGAUUCCAAAUAACCUGCUUUCUUUCUGUUCCCGGGUGGCUUCGGACCCCUGUCGGAUCGGAAAUCCCAAGUAAGGUACCUGCCGUCGGCAGAUUUGAGCUUUCUCCUUGGACACCUAAUACCCACAGUCCUCCAGUGUUUUAGACGCCCAGCUGCACAACUUGAUUGCCUUACAAAUGACCUGCUUCCAGGAUGCGGAAAUUCCUAAUUUCUUCUGUGACCCUUCUCAACUCCCCCAUCUUGCAUGUUGUGACACCUUCACCAAUAACAUAAUCAUGUAUUUCCCUGCUGUCAUAUUUGGUUUUCUUCCCAUCUCUGGGACCCUUUUCUCUUACUAUAAAAUUGUUUCCUCCAUUCUGAGUGUUUCAUCAUCACGUGGGCAGUAUAAGGCCUUCUCCACCUGUGGGUCUCACCUGUCAGUUGUUUGCUGAUUUUACGGAACGGGCGUUGGAGGGUACUUCAGUUCAGAUGUGUCAUCUUCCCCGAGAAAGGCUGCAGUGGCCUCAGUGAUGUACACGGUGAUCACCCCAUGCUGAACCCCUUCAUCUACAGCCUGAGAAACAGGCAUAUUAAAAGUGUCCUGCGGCG